rnacentral:tRNA from 1 species
GUAGGAUAAGCUAAAAAAGCUAGUGGGUUCAUACCCCAAAAAUGAGAUAAUAACUCUCCUACUA